rnacentral:rRNA from 1 species
UCCUACGGGCGGCUGCAGUGGGGAAUAUUGGACAAUGGACCAAAAGUCUGAUCCAGCAAUUCUGUGUGCACGAUGAAGUUUUUCGGAAUGUAAAGUGCUUUCAGUUGGGAAGAAGUCAGUGACGGUACCAACAGAAGAAGCGACGGCUAAAUACGUGCCAGCAGCCGCGGUAAUACGUAUGUCGCAAGCGUUAUCCGGAUUUAUUGGGCGUAAAGCGCGUCUAGGCGGUUUAGUAAGUCUGAUGUGAAAAUGCGGGGCUCAACCCCGUAUUGCGUUGGAAACUGCUAAACUAGAGUACUGGAGAGGUAGGCGGAACUACAAGUGUAGAGGUGAAAUUCGUAGAUAUUUGUAGGAAUGCCGAUGGGGAAGCCAGCCUACUGGACAGAUACUGACGCUAAAGCGCGAAAGCGUGGGUAGCAAACAGGAUUAGAUACCCCGGUCGUCACA